GAUCCCCAAUCCUGUCUCCUCUCCAGGAGGUCUUGAUCCUGUUUGGUGUGGGUGAGUGAAAUGGGGCUUGGGAAGGGAAGAGAUCCAUCACAAAUCAUUUUGUAAAUAGGGGAAACUGGGUGUGUGAAGAGGAUGUAAGCAGGUACAUCCCAGAAACACAUCACAGCAGAUCCUUCAGCUGCACCUUCACCCCUGCUCUUCACACUGUCUCCCUCUCUGAAAUAUGCUGAAUAGCUCACAGGCUUCCCGGAGGGGUGGUCACAUGACCUCCCCCUGACCAAUCAGCGUGUUCCAUCCUCCUGGACGCCUGUGAUUGGCUCAGGGCUGGACAAGUGACUAAUGAGGGCAUAAGCUGGAAUCCUGGGGAAUGGAGGUUUAUUUCCGUUAGGAACAGGGACUACCUGAGGCCAGCCUGUGGCAGUGAGAGGGAUGUGACGUCAGCUUGUGGCAGUUGGAGGCCUCGUUCCACAAAGGCAGAGCUACUUGGGUGAGGAUGACAGCAGUAAGCAGAGCUGAGAGGUGGGGAAAGACAACUCCUGCUGACGUCUCUGAGACCCAGCCUCCCGUGGUGCCACAGGAGAGACCCAGCGGACAAUGAAUUGACAGCUCAGCACAGGAAGGCAGGUGAGAGAAUAUCCUGUCACCUCCUUGUGCCCGUAUGUACCUGUUCCUGCCUCAUGGGGAGUUGUGAAGAGGAGGGAUGGAUUGGUGUGCAAAGCAAGGCUGAAGGAGGGCUGUGUGCUGUUGAGAAUGGAGACUCGCCGCUUCACUCCGUCCGUGUGCUGGGUCUGGAGUCCACCCCCUACAUAGUAGGGCCUCAGUGAGCCUGCACUGCAUGUGUGGACGCCGAGGCCAUGGACAAGAACGUUCCAGGCGGUGAUGGCGAGUUGCCGACUCAUUGCUUGCUGAGUCUCUUGUGUGCCCGGCACGGACCCGGGGGGCAGGCCCAGCGCUGACUUGGGGGACAGGCUUGGUGCUGAAUGAGGCACACAGGGAGCACAGAGCCGCUCAGGAGGACAUGUGCUAUGGGGACACGCAGGCCAGGGCCCUCUGGUCACCAGCAGCCUGAGAUGUCUUGGCCAGUGGAAGGAGACUGUGUCCCACCCUACUCAUGGAUGCCCUGCUCUCUCUGGGACUGUGAUGGACAAAUAGAGUGACCAGAGGCAGCUGUAGCCCAGCCAGCCCCAGCCCACACCUCACAGAAGAGGAGAGUCUGUGAGCACAACGUUCUGUCAUCAGAGCCAACUACUGUCCAGCCCUGAGGUGGGGAUGUUUGGAGAUGGAGAGCACAGAGCACUGGUGUGGAUGGUCCCGGAAGCAAGGGGGCUGGCCCAGGCCCCUCUCCCCAGCCUGGCUCCUGACCUCUGUCCUGUGUGUGCCUGACACUCCAGCUUCCUCCUGCCAGAUUGCCUGCUCCCCAGUCCCUGUGGUCACACCCACACAUCAGGACAACUCCCCCCACCAAAGGGGAGAUCCUGACAUCUGCAUGAGAGUCAGGAAACUCAGCUGCACAGGGACCUGAUCACACUGCACACAGGCUUUCACGGGACUUUAUCCUAUUUAUGGGCAUCUCAGUCAUGAUUAUCACAGGCCCCAGGGACCAAAAGUUCCCCUCAGCCCUUCUGAAGAUGUUGGGUAAUGUCAGUGCAGGGAGGUCAUACACACUUUCUGCAUCUCGGCCCUGCAGCGCAGCAAUUGCUGCUGUUGGAAGUCACUGUCCUUAUUCUCUUGGUUGUCUUUGCAUUUAGUUCUGAUUUACUUCUAGUACCACAUGACUGCACGCUUCUUAGACUGGAAAAUACAGCCUCAAUUCUGUUCAGGGAGGAUGCAAAACUGGAGCAUCAGGUUUAUCAACAGGAAUGGGAAGAACCAAAGAGCUGACGAGAACUCUGGCGCCCCCUCACAUGGAGGACAGAAGAGUGGGGCCCCCUCGCACAUGGAGGACAGAAGAGUGGGGCAGGGGACACGCCCAGGAGAGGCAGUCGGGUCUCUGCAGUUGCAGGUGAGAGCCGAGGGGGGGCCUGCAGCCAGGCGGGCCCUCUUCUGGUCGCCAGGCCGCUGCAGACCGUCCUCUGAGCUGGCCAGGGCUUUGGAUACGGUGCUUCUGAAGGCCGUGGAGGUGUGGGAUACCCUCCUGAGUCAAAUCUUGUCAGAGGAUUCACCCCCCAACCACUGCCAGGGAGUGCAUCCUGACCUUUCUUCUUGGGUCAUCCAUGGACUUUACCUGGGUUCCAUUUGUUAUGCCACCUCUUGCUGGGCAGACUAUUAAAUACCUUCUUAUUCUCAGGCAAGCCCUGCUCUUUCUGGCUGUGGCCAGAGGAAAGUGUCUGGGGACACACGCUCAGGCUGCCCAGCGUGGGAGGAGCUCCUGGUGUUGGACACACCCAGGGGCAGCUGCUU